UACGUAGGGUCCGAGCGUUGUCCGGAGUUACUGGGCGUAAAGCGCGCGCAGGCGGCGGUGUUGGCCCGGCGUGAAAGCCCCCGGCUCAACCGGGGAGAGUCGUCGGGGACCGCACCGCUUGAGGGCGGUAGGGGCUGGUGGAAUGCCUGGUGUAGUGGUGAAAUGCGUAGAGAUCAGGCAGAACACCUAUGGCGAAGGCAGCUCUCUGGGACGGUACUGACGCUGAGACGCGAAAGCGUGGGGAGCGAACAGG
rnacentral:rRNA from 1 species